UGAGGAAUAUUGGUCAAUGGGCGAGAGCCUGAACCAGCCAAGUCGCGUGAAGGAUGACUGUCUUAUGGAUUGUAAACUUCUUUUAUACGGGAAUAACAAGAGCCACGUGUGGCUCCCUGCAUGUACCGUAUGAAUAAGCAUCGGCUAACUCCGUGCCAGCAGCCGCGGUAAUACGGAGGAUGCGAGCGUUAUCCGGAUUUAUUGGGUUUAAAGGGUGCGUAGGCGGCCUGUUAAGUCAGCGGUGAAAUCUAGGAGCUUAACUCCUAAAUUGCCAUUGAUACUGGCGGGCUUGAGUGUAGAUGAGGUAGGCGGAAUGCGUGGUGUAGCGGUGGAAUGCAUAGAUAUCACGCAGAACUCCGAUUGCGAAGGCAGCUUACUAAGGUACAACUGACGCUGAAGCACGAAAGCGUGGGUAUCAAACAGGAUUAGAUACCCUGGUAGUCCACGCAGUAAACGAUGAUAACUGGGCGUAUGCGAUAUACAGUAUGCUCCUAAGCGAAAGCGUUAAGUUAUCCACCUGGGGAGUACGCCGGGCAACGGUG
rnacentral:rRNA from 1 species